AGUGAACGCUGUCGGUAGGCCUAACACAUGCAAGUCGAACGGCAGCACCGUAAGCGCUUGCUCUUACGGGUGUCGAGUGGCGUACGGGUGAGGCAUACAUCGGAAUCUACUUUUUCGUGGGGGAUAACGUAGGGCAACUUACGCUAAUAACACAUACGACCUACUGGUGAACGCAGUGGAUCUUCGGACCUUGCGCGAUUGAAUGCGCCGAUGUCGGAUUAGCUAGUUGGCGGGGUAAAGGCCCACCAAGGCGACGAUCCGUAGCUGGUCUGAGAGGAUGAUCAACCCCACUGGACCUGAGACACGGCCCAGAAUCCGACGGGAGGCAGCAGGGUGGAAUAUGGGAAAAGGGGCGCAAGCCUGAUCCAGCCAUACCGUGUGGGUGAAGAAGGCCUUCGGGUGGUAAAGCACUUUUGUUGGGAAAGAAAAGCAGCAGGUUAAUACCCCGAUGUUCUGACGGUACACAAAGAAUAAGGAACGGCUAACUUCGUG
rnacentral:rRNA from 1 species